rnacentral:rRNA from 1 species
CCUAGGGAGGCAGCAGUGAGGAAUAUUGGUCAAUGGAGGCAACUCUGAACCAGCCAUGCCGCGUGAAGGAUGACGGCCCUAUGGGUUGUAAACUUCUUUUAUAGAGGAAGAAACUUGUCUACGUGUAGACAACUGACGGUACUCUACGAAUAAGGAUCGGCUAACUCCGUGCCAGCAGCCGCGGUAAUACGGAGGAUCCAAGCGUUAUCCGGAUUCAUUGGGUUUAAAGGGUCCGUAGGCGGGUCUUUAAGUCAGUGGUGAAAGCCGACAGCUCAACUGUCGAACUGCCAUUGAUACUGGAGACCUUGAGUACAAAUGAAGUAGGCGGAAUGAGUCAUGUAGCGGUGAAAUGCAUAGAUAUGACUCAGAACACCGAUUGCGAAGGCAGCUUACUAACAUGUAACUGACGCUGAGGGACGAAAGCGUGGGGAGCGAACAGGAUUAGAUACCCUGGUAGUCCACGCCGUAAACGAUCAUCACUCGCUGUUGGCGAUAUACUGUCAGCGGCCAAGCGAAAGUAUUAAGUGAUGCACCUGGGGAGUACGCCGGCAACGGUGAAACUCAAAGGAAUUGACGGA